UACGUAGGGCGCAAGCGUUAUCCGGAAUUAUUGGGCGUAAAGAGCUCGUAGGCGGUUUGUCGCGUCUGCCGUGAAAGUCCGGGGCUCAACUCCGGAUCUGCGGUGGGUACGGGCAGACUAGAGUGAUGUAGGGGAGACUGGAAUUCCGGGUGGAGUGGUGAAAUGCGUAGAGAUCCGGAGGAACACCGAAGGCGAAGGCAGUGUCCUGGCGAGUGACUGACGCUGAGGUGCGAGAGCCAGGGGAGCGAACGGG
rnacentral:rRNA from 1 species